UACAGAGGUCUCGAGCGUUAGGCGGAAUCACUGGGCUUAAAGCGUGUGUAGGUGGAUCGGUAAGUACCUUGUGAAAUCCCACAGCUUAACUGUGGAACUGCUUGGUAUACUGCCAGUCUUGAGCCACUUAGGGGCUAACCGGAACAAAUGGUGGAGCGGUGAAAUGCGUAGAUAUCAUUUGGAACGCCAAUGGUGAAAACAGGUAGCUGGGAGUGUGCUGACACUGAGACACGAAAGCCAGGGGAGCAAACGGG
rnacentral:rRNA from 1 species